GAUGAAGAACGCAGCGAAAUGCGAUAAGUAAUGUGAAUUGCAGAAUUCAGUGAAUCAUCGAAUCUUUGAACGCACAUUGCGCCCGCCAGUAUUCUGGCGGGCAUGCCUGUCCGAGCGUCAUUUCAACCCUCGAACCCCUCCGGGGGGUCGGCGUUGGGGAUCGGGAACCCCUAAGACGGGAUCCCGGCCCCGAAAUACAGUGGCGGUCUCGCCGCAGCCUCUCCUGCGCAGUAGUUUGCACAACUCGCACCGGGAGCGCGGCGCGUCCACGUCCGUAAAACACCCAACUUCUGAAAUGUUGACCUCGGAUCAGGUAGGGAUACCCGCUGAACUUAAGCAUAUCAAUAAGCGGAGGA
rnacentral:misc_RNA from 1 species